rnacentral:rRNA from 1 species
AACGGCCGCGGUAUCCUAACCGUGCAAAGGUAGCAUAAUCACUUGCCUAUUAAUUGUAGGCUAGAAUGAAUGGGUUAACGAAAUAAAGACUGUCUCAAUUAAUCACCUAAAAAUUACUAUCUAUUUGAAGAAGAGUAGAUAAUCUCGAAGGACAAGAAGACCCUAUAGAGCUUAAUUUUAAUUAUAGAACUACACUAUAAAAAUAUUCGGUUGGGGCGACCCAGGGCUAAUCAAUCACCCACUACAUAAAAGAUAAAUUAAUCAAGUAAUUGACCCCUAAAAGAUCAUAAGAACAAGCUACCUUAGGGAUAACAGGCUAAUCCCACUCAAGAGUCCUUAUCAACAGUGGGGUUUGGCACCUCGAUGUUGGCUUAGG